AUUGUCACCGCUAAUACCCGACCCGAUAGGAUCCCAAGCAGGUUUCUAUAGGGGGAAAAACCCCAUUUGAUAUUUUCGGGUUCGGGUUAAAAAAUGUCAAAACCCCUCUCUGGACCCUCGAGAAAUCCUGUGAUCGGUUCAGCUUCGGGAGCUUCUUGGAGCAUUUGUUUGAGGAAUUGAGUAGGCUAAAGGGUGUUCCCUGUUUCCUUGGGUUAAUAUCUCGGAUAGACUAUCCUCAGACUUAGAGGACGGACAAAUCUAGGUUGGAGACACGCCAGAGCCCGAGUACCCUCAGCAGGAGUGUUUUGCAAACAGAGCUGAAGAAGAAGCCGAAGCUUACUUACCGCUUUUAGUCAUUUGAUGGACUUAGUUUAUUUUUUUACAGUAUUUCCUUUCUAUUUUUGUUGGACUAUGUAUUUUCAUAUUUCUUUAGUUGGACUGUUUUGUAAUAAGGGCAAGUUUGACCUAAAUUUUGUGUCUCGGAUGAUAUACUAUUUGUGACAUGGCUCUUUUCUGUUC